rnacentral:SRP_RNA from 1 species
CCGCACUAGUCGGGGAGAUAGCGGUGCCCUGAACCUGCAACCCGCUACAGCAGGGAUGAAUUCCGGCCCCCGGAUUUGUACUGUGUUGUCUGACCCAGGUAAGCAGUGAUGAUGGGAUGGUCCCGCGCAACGGGGUCCCGUGAACCGUGUCAGGCGGGGAACCGAGCAGCACUAAGCGGAACGCCUCGUGUGCCGCGGGGUUUCCGUUCCUGAGCCGGCUGCCUGGGUAACGAACAUAGUACAGACUUCAAAGGCCGGUGUGCGG